rnacentral:rRNA from 1 species
CUUUCUUUGCUGGCGACCGGCGCACGGGUGAGUAACACGUAUUCAACCUGCCCUUUACUCGGGGAUAGCCUUUCGAAAGAAAGAUUAAUACCCGAUAGCAUAAUGAUUCCGCAUGGUUUCAUUAUUAAAGGAUUCCGGUAAAGGAUGGGGAUGCGUUCCAUUAGGUUGUUGGUGAGGUAACGGCUCACCAAGCCUUCGAUGGAUAGGGGUUCUGAGAGAAAGGUCCCCCACAUUGGAACUGAGACACGGUCCAA